rnacentral:rRNA from 1 species
GAUGAACGCUAGCGGCAGGCUUAACACAUGCAAGUCGAGGGGCAGCAAGGGUAGCAAUACCUGUUGGCGACCGGCAAACGGGUGCGGAACACGUACAGAAUCUACCUUUAUCUGGGGCAUAGCCCGAAGAAAUUCGGAUUAAUACCCCAUAAUAUAUAUGAGUGGCAUCACUUGAAUAUUAAAACUCCGGUGGAUAGAGAUGACUGUGCGUCCCAUUAGCUAGNGGUAGGGUAACGGCCUACCAAGGCGACGAUGGGUAGCUGGUGUGAGAGCACGACCAGCCACACGGGCACUGAGACACGGGCCCGACUCCUACGGGAGGCAGCAGUGAGGAAUAUUGGUCAAUGGACGCAAGUCUGAACCAGCCAUGCCGCGUGAAGGAUGAAGGCGUUCUGCGUUGUAAACUUCUUUUAUCUGGAAGAACCUACGAUUUCUAUUGUAGCCGACGGUACCAGAGAAUAAGCACCGGCUAACUCCGUGCCAGCA